CGCUAAAAAUGUGGAAAAAGAGCGUAUGUGCGCUUCAUAGUCCACAGUUUAAAGAGGAUUGUCCUUGUUGUGUGCCCUACGGUGUACACCGCUUCCCCGGCCGUGCUGAGGAUGAAGACAUUCGCAAGAUAUGGAUUAAAAACGUACACCGAAAGGACUUUGCCCCCAAACAAGUAUUCAAUGGUGUGUGGAGUAUACUUCCCUGACGGCAGACCAACGCAGGAACACCCAUAUCCCAUAAUAUGGGAUAUGAAUAUAGUAAAGCACUAUCAUGUGGAAGACCACCCCCGAAGAGGAGAUGUCUCCAGCCCCCAACAGAGAGACUUGGAUUAAUGUUGAGAGGAUUAUUGUUCAAUACGGUGCAGAAACACUUGGUUCAGUUAUAUGUAUAUAUCAAUCAUCUUUCAAGAAAUCCUUCAUCCCCUCAGCUGUGACCAUACUGAACAAGAUAUGAACUGUCCAGCUGCAGCAUGAAUGUAUUGUGUGGUCGUCUUUUUUUUUUUUUUUUGGUCAAGCCUUGUCUAAUGUCUGUGAGAAUCACUGAAGUCACGCCAAAGACAAUUUUCUGUUUCAUGGUUGUAACAGACAAUAAAGUUUUAUCUAAUCUCAUCAUAUCAAUGAGAAUCAGUGCACCUGACAAAGGUAUGACAUACUGUAUACUGUAGGCUUAAGUGCUAAAGGAAAAUGAAUUAACCUUAGCGGUUUUGAAUUGUUUAUUUACACAGUUAUUAAAAUGCAUACAGAUAGUGAAUGUAAUAUAGUUCAAUACUGUGUGCUUACUCGAUGGUGUUUUUUAUAUGUGCUGAACUGAAAAACAACCUAGCUACUUGUGCUCAAUACACUAAAUGACUCUUG